CUCGACUGUAUCCUGGAAUUGGGUUCGGGCUUUUCUUGCGCAGUCUAGGUGGGAGGCUAUGAAGAUUUCCUUCCGGGGAAGUUGGAGCCAUCAGUGAGAGACCACUCUGGAGAGGCUAGAAUCCUAAUGGUGAUCCUUGAAUCAGGACACUUGACAAUUUCAGGUUGGCAGUUUUUCUGGGGCGGAAGCCUCAUAAAGGGUAACUGAGGCGCGCAAAGGUCCCCUCAGUCUGGACGGAAAUCAGACAACGAGUGUAAAGGCAAAAGGGGGCUUGACUGCAAGACCUACAAGUCGAGCAGGAGCGAAAGCUGGCCUUAGUGAUCCGACGGUACCGCGUGGAAGGGCCGUCGCUCAACGAAUAAAAGUUA
rnacentral:rRNA from 1 species